rnacentral:rRNA from 1 species
UACGAAGGGGGCUAGCGUUGUUCGGAAUCACUGGGCGUAAAGGGCGCGUAGGCGGCGAAGCAAGUCAGGUGUGAAAGGCCCGGGCUCAACCCGGGAACUGCGCUUGAGACUGCUUUGCUCGAGUCCGGGAGAGGAUGGCGGAAUUCCCAGUGUAGAGGUGAAAUUCGUAGAUAUUGGGAAGAACACCGGUGGCGAAGGCGGCCAUCUGGACCGGUACUGACGCUGAGGCGCGAAAGCGUGGGGAGCAAACAGG